CAUAAAAUCUUACCAAGGAACUAAGAAAUGCUUGUAAGUCUAAUAAACUGCACUUAAGAAUAUAACAAACAUACGUCUUAAAUAUUCCAAUGCCGUUUACAUACAAUAAAUUCUGUUAUUCCUUCCAGUUUAAAAAGCAAAUGACAGAACUUCUGCUUCCAGGGAGAUGGAGGAGACUCACUUUUUCCUAUGCUUCCUGCUGUGUACAACAGGAAACCCUGGAUGUUGUAUACAAAGCAAACAUGAGACAACUCUGAAAGAGGGAAUUCAACCACCUAUAAAGAAGUCCAGCCUAUUCGUAAGGAGAGACAGGGGUCAUGUGGAAGACCAAAUAGAUACAUGAGUGGGCCCAGUCAACAGCAAGAGAAGAGAAAGGCCCAGCCAUCUCUGCCAACUGCCAGCUGAGUCAGCCACCCCAGCUGAGGCUCCAGACACGAGUGAUGCCAUUUUGGAUUCUCCAGCCCCGGUCCAGCACUCCAGAUGAUACUAUAGCCCAAAUUUGCCCUCUUAAGAACAAUUUAAGUGUAUAAUGCAGUACUGUUAAAUAUAGGCACAAAGAUCUCUGGAAUUUAUUCAUCUUCC